UGUCACAGAGAGUGCCCCCUACAGAGCCCUCAGAGAACAGGGAGGAAUCGGGGGCCUUGACGGGGUCCUGCCGGCAGGCCUGGAACUUUAUCUCGUGGCCCCGAGGUGGACACCGUUCUCGAACUCUGGACACAGGGAAGACUGCUCUCCCUGCCCCCUCCUCAUUUGAAGAGAGAAUGAUGUAUUGUUUUGGUUCGAAGAAGCUGGAGAAAACAUUAGAGAGAAAAUGAGGAGACUGGAAGUCUGUAGACUUUUUCGAAGACUUCGGCCCAUUGUCACCUGGUUUCCUACUGCACCACUCCAACUGUAACUGCUCUCAGUGACUUUACCAAUGACACCCUUGUUGCUAAAUGGAACAGAGUGAUGAUGACAUCAGCAACAGUACUUUGGUCAAUAUUGAGAUGCUCUAAAUGAAGAUAUGUUGCAGAGUGCGGCAGAAAACUCAGCUGAUUUGGAAAUCAGUCAGUUUGCAGUGUAGACUGACACUCAAGUACCAGUGCUGUGUAUGGAAUAAAGGUCUGAAAAAAGGGAGAAGUUACAA